rnacentral:rRNA from 1 species
ACGGAGAAGCACCAUUGUGUGGAAGCAAGGUGUUAUUUUUCUGGUGGUGCACAUCAGCUGUCCCAAAAAUAGGGUGUAAUGCUCUUAUGACAGGAAAGUUAAAAGCUUUUUUAGCAAGCUUCGGCUAGUGCCCCUUAUAUAGGCCUAAAGUUCUGCCUAGAAUCAAAUAGUGAUUAUGGUUCUAGUAGCAUAUUGAAGUCUUGACCAAAACGCGUGCCAGCAGUCGCGGCAACACGGGAGGAGACGUGUGUUAUUCAUCUUUAAUAGGUUUAAAGGGUACCUAGACGGCUAAUUUAACCCCCGUAAAAGGGAAAGUAGAUAUUAGCUAGAGUUUUAUGUGAGAGGUAUUUAGUACUAACAGAGUAGAGAUGAAAUUCUUUGAUACUGUAGGGCACUGAUAUCGGCGAAGGCAGACCUUUAUGUAAAAACUGACGUUGAGGGACGAAGGCUUGGGUAACAAACAGGAUUAGGUACCCUAAUAGUCCAGGCAGACAAUGAUGAGUGCCAUAGAUUAGAUGAAUUUUUGGUCUAUAAAUGAAAGUGUAAGCACUCCACCUUAAGAGUAAUGCGGCAACGCAGGAACUGAAAUCAUUAGACCGUUUCUGAUACCAGUAGUGAAGUAUGUUGUUUAAUUCGAUGAUCCACGAAAAACCUUACCACAGUUUGAAUAUUUUUAGCACCUUUUAGGAAAGUUAUGUUAAUUAUUAACAUAAAGAAAGUGCUACUAAUACAGGUGUUGCAUGGCUGUCUUCAGUUGAUGUCGUGAGGCGCAGGUUAGAUCCACUAAUCAACGUGUAACCCAUAUUUUAUUUUUAAAUAGAGUAGUUUCCCUGGGAUAUCGGAACGAUAACUGG